GAGGAGAGGAAGCGGCCACCCAACCCCCAACCCCAGCCUAGCCCCAGCCCGUUUCCCUCCCCACCCAUGCCGCCGCCGCCGGAGCCACCCACCGCCCCGCCUCCCUCACACAGACCUCGCCGCCGGCCAUGGCCUUCCCCAACAGCCGCCGCUCCGACCCUCUCCCCCUCCCCUCCCCUUAUCACAAGACAAGAGAAGAGAAGAGGGAGGGAAAUCGAUCGCGACUGAGCAGGUCAGGCGGCGACAAUGGCGCGCCCAGACCCGCCAGCGCCGUCGUCGUCGAGCUGGGCUGGGCGGCGCAGUCCGGUAGAGUAGGAAUGAGGGGGCGGUGGGACGCCUCCCCUGCUCGAGCUGCUCCAAGCGAGCGACCACAGCGCCGGAUCCACCUCCAGAACCACCCACCGGCGGCCACGGAAGGUCAGGGACCUUCGUCCGGUCCGUGUGCUUCUUCUCCAUGGAGCUGCGACACCGCAGCAGCCGCAUCCAUGGAAGGUCCCUCUUCUCCUCCCCGCCUCUCUCUUCCUACCUCCCUCUGUUUGUUUCGAUCUGGAAACCGUCUGAUUCGAUUUCCUCACAUGCGCACGUGCUUCUUCCGCUCUCCGCUGCUCCAACCCUAGUGCCGACGCCAUGGACCUCGUCAAUAGUGGUUUGCUGCUGCCGCCGACCGUUUCCCUGACAAGUUGACACCAAAGCCACCAUUGUCAAAGUCGCCGUUGGCCGGCGUUGCCACUGGUCGCUGCUCCACGCAUCUUGUCGGUGCUGCGAGGCGAUGCCAUCUGCAUCUGUUGCUGCAGCCUGGGAGGUGGCAGGGUCUCAAGGUGAUGCCCUCUUUGCUGCCCAAUCAUUGAAGAUGCCAUAGGACGAGAUCCUCUGCUGCUGCUGUGUCUGGUGGUUGAAGAAGGGGUGUGUUGGGAAGAGAAGGCAGUGUUGAGAGUGCUAGAUCUGGAACAGGACGAGCUUGGGCUGCAUCGGCUCUGGUUCUCAACCUCCAACAUGAGUCCCUUUCUUCCGUGCCUCGAACGCCACGCGUCAUCAUGGGCACUGCAGAUGCGGAGGAGUUUUACCCGGGCGAUCUGAUUGUUCCCGGCCGCGCUGGUGUCAACUACCUCGAGCCACUAUGACCAUCCCAACCACGCUCACCCCCCUGCAAGUCAUGUGUUUCUCCUACCAGAUCAAAACAAUUGUCAAUUUUUGGAGUACAGUUGUGUAUCAGAUCCGUUCAUGAUUGAAAUCGUGGUCCCCUAAACAUGUGAUUUGUGAAAUAUUUAGGAACGAAUUGUUUGUGGAUCUGCAAAGGGGGAUUCAAUUAAUUUUCAGUUGUAGAAAAGGGAGAAGGGGGAUUCAAUUAAUUUUCCUCCUCAAGAUCAAAGAAACAAAAUCUUUGUGGCGAUGAUAGAAGGGGUUCACGACUUCACGUUAAUACACAGACUAUUGGUAAGGGCAUUAAAACAUAUAUCUGGUGUGAAAUGGUCGUACAUGCUUGAUUAGAAUAUUUUCAAGUGUUGUAGGUGUACGGCUGUGGGGAAACAUUUUCAUGGUCUAAUUUUCUAAUUAAUGUAUGCACGAGACAUGAAUCUUGGAUUCUAAACUUUUUCCUCGAUGUUUGGGCUUCCUCUAACUUUUCGUAUAUUGCACACAACACAACACAUAGAUUCAUGUCUUCCAUGCUUGCUGUCUUGUAACAAACAGAUGUUGGGAUGGAUACUAAUUUUCUAAAUGAUUUGAACUCAUGUUGUUUUCUAUUC